CCUACGGGAGGCAGCAGUGGGGAAUAUUGCACAAUGGGGGAAACCCUGAUGCAGCGACGCCGCGUGAGUGAAGAAGUAUUUCGGUACGUAAAGCUCUAUCAGCAGGGAAGAAAAUGACGGUACCUGACUAAGAAGCCCCGGCUAACUACGUGCCAGCAGCCGCGGUAAUACGUAGGGGGCAAGCGUUAUCCGGAUUUAAUGGGUGUAAAGGGAGCGUAGACGGCAGCGCAAGUCUGGAGUGAAAUCCCAUGGCUUAACCAUGGAACUGCUUUGGAAACUGUGCAGCUAGAGUGCAGGAGAAGUAAGCGGAAUUCCUAGUGUAGCGGUGAAAUGCGUAGAUAUUAGGAGGAACACCAGUGGCGAAGGCGGCUUACUGGACUGUAACUGACGUUGAGGCUCGAAAGCGUGGGGAGCAAACAGGAUUAGAUACCCCGGUAGUC
rnacentral:rRNA from 1 species